GUUCUGUGGGGGGCUGGAGGCGUCCUGGGGACGUGGAGGGAACCCCGGGCUCCGUGAGGGGCUGGAGGCGUCCUGGGGACGUGGAGGGAACCCCGGGCUCCGUGAGGGGCUGGGGGCGUCCUGAGGACAUGGAGGGGCACUCGGGGGUCGGGAGGGGCUGGAGGCGCCCUGAGGACAUGGAGGGAACCCGGGGCUUUGUGAGGGGCUGGGGGCGCCCUGAGGACAUGGAGGGAACCUGGGGCUUUGUGAGGGGCUGGGGGCGCCCUGAGGACGUGGAGGGUCCCCCGGAGUUCGUAAGCGGCUGGGGUGGGCGCCAUGAGGGGGUAGAAGCGCUGUGAGGAUAUAGAGGAGACUGAGCCGCUCCCUCGGAGUCAUGAGGGCACGGAGGGGGCUUGAGUAGCUGCCAGGGGUCUGUGAGGGCUGUGCGUGCAUGGUCCACGGGGGUAACGCUGCUCUGGGUUUUCCUGUCGGCCUCAGGCUAUGCAAAUGCUGCUUUCCCAGAGGUUUUGGAGUCCCUCGCCCCACAGUCGGUGGGUUGAGGGGUGCGCCUGUUCACUGGAAAACGCGAGCUCUGAGUCAGCUGCGUGGGGAAAUCCAGCGCUGCUCAGACCAUCCCGGUGUUUUCUUCCUAAAUGUGCCUCUGACUCCCUGUGGAGUCCGUGCUCGGAGGCUCGGGAUGCAGCACUUGGUCUCGCUGGUGGUGGUGGGAUCCCGAGCCCCUCUCACUUUGCCUACAGCCGGUGUGAAUAACAGCAUCUCUGACAGGGGUGCUUAGACUUCCAUCACUGUGGUUUUGCCGUGUUUCGAAGGAAAAAGAACAGCAAGAAGUAAAAUUGAACCCUUCAUCCUCUGGUUUGCAAUGGGCAUUAAAGUUUAGUUGCUUAAAAGAAUUAUUUACAGGUAGGUAAUGGUAAAAGGAGCUCUCCUUAUGUGUCUGGUCAUUCAAACCACAGCACAUACUGACUGCUGAAGUGUGGAAAGAACGGAGGAAGAAAAACGAUGAUGCAUUUUUUUCCUUCAUCUUGUGAAACAAUUUCACGGAAGACAGGAUUUGGGUAAAGAGCUGAGGGCUGUCUCAAGCACUUUGAGGCAAGAGUGGAUUUUGUAACAGGUACGGAGUUUGGAGGAGAGCUUUUUUAAAGCCUGCUCUUUCUUGACUCUUGCCUUGCAUGCAAUCAUGUUGUGUAGUUACUAGAAGGUGCUCAUAUAAAGUGCUUAGAGAAAUGCAAAGUCUGUGUGGGACUGUGGCUGCUGAACACAAGUUUGGAUAUAAAAGGCACUCGGAAAAUAUUGGUCAGUAUUUACAUGUUGCAGACUAGUCCUUAGACAACUCCUCUGUCAGAGGAUAGGGGAAUGACCAGCAGGGUAUUUAUCUGACCCUCCUCUCUUCAUCAUUGACUCAUUUAGAGGAUGCUGGCUGCAGUACAUUAACUUUGGGAUCUGAGCAAGCUGGUCAGGAGGAAGGCAUCCUCAAACAUAGUCAAAUGUCAGACUCGCUGUGAGCUCCAGCAUGUUACCAAGCUCUGAGGUAGAAAGUGGGACAGAGUUCUGCCCUCACAUACUCCUCACAGAGCCCUGAAGAAAGUAGCUGGGACUUUACAAGGCAGGGCACGGGAUUUGGGUUUUAGUAAGGCUUUAGCAGGUGUGUUUUAAGCGCAGUUCUCUCUUGCUUAUUAGAAAUUUAAGACAGUGUUGUUUAACAAGUGUCGAUGCUCGGAUCUUAAGCAGCUCAUUAUUUGUCAGUGUAAUGCAGAAACAGCCUCCCAUCAGUGGGCAUCACUAAAUUAGAUACAUGCUAGUUUUUAUUUGUUAUGUAAAUAAAUUAUUAAAGUAAGGCUGUGGCAUUUGACCUGAGCCUGUAUAGCAGUUAAGAUAGCAGGAGUCUGGGUCAUUCAGUAAUAGCGGGAUAGUGUUUCAAAUUAUUAGUUCAGUCGCUCAUGAGGAGGUUUGUUUUCCUCCCCAUAACUGGCUUUUGGUUAGUGUUACACACCUCAAGUAUUUUGCAAAAUAAUAGUUAAUUAGCGCUUGAAGAUUAAAGACAUCUGAUCUGUGUUUCAGAUUACUGCUGUCCCUGCUCCCUCAAACAGCAAUAUUUGUCUCCCUACCCUGAAGCUUUGUAUCAUAUCAGUUACUUUAAAAUUGAGGAAACAUGACGUUCUACCACGUAGAUAGCUGUCAAGCUUCCUUUGCACACAGAGUUAAUUAUAUGUCUGGACCUAAGGGAUCACUCCUGUGCUCCUUGGAUUAAUUGCAGUUUUAACAACAGAAAUCAACAGCUGUAUGCUUGAUUUAUAGUAUGUUGAGAGUAUUUUUCCUUUUCCCAUUUUUCCCUUAUUGUUUGUCCAUGGUACUUAACUCAGAGGGACAGAGGGAACGUGUGUUUUGUCCUAAGAGGCACCAGAGAAAGGUGUUGGGCAAAUGUGCUGGCAGAGUGCUGCAACAGGCUGCAGAGCUCAUCCGCCUGGACACCUGCCACAGCAGGUUUGAUCCCACAAAAAUCUGAUAAUCCUUCUUUAUCCAGGUAAUCUUAACAGCAGCAUCUUGCCAUUUUGCAGGGCUGAGGGGUGAAGUACAUUAGUCUGCUGUGUUGCUGGAAUCCAGGAAGUUGUGGGUUUGUGUUCAGGAGUGCGUGUGAAGCCUGAAACCCAAAGAGCAUCUGCUUUUUACACAAACAUCACUCAAGGACCCUCUACUCACUAGAGAAUUUGACCAAGCUGGAGAAGCUGCUGGAUGCUGAGGCUCAUGUUGCAGAGAGGCUGAGCAGCACCCCUGUGUCACCACCAUGGGCCAGGCAAGAUUUGUACCUGUCUCGUACAAACAAGUGCUAAAAGUCACCAGGAGCUUUUCAGCUGGGCAGUAGCCAUAUGGCCCCUGAACUGGCAUAAGCAUGAAUGCAGCUGUGGCAGAGGCUGUGGAGCUUGCUCACAUCAGUGGAAGGUCUGGUCCUUCUGUGCAGUGGUGGUUACUCAAGGAACCAGGCAACCCCUGAGGAGCAGCUGACUGUGACAUUCCCCCUGUUCUCCUCCUGGCUGCUUGGAGCAUCCUGAAGCCCAGCAGGAGAAAAAACAGAACAAGUUGCUUCCUGAAGGUGGAGUUGGGAGAGAUGGCUGUGAUCACUGGGUCCUGCCCCUUCACUCCAAAGGGUUUUUUCUGCUGCCAGGAACUGCAUGUUGCUGUUCCUUGGUGUCUGUGAGUGCUUGGUGAACUUUACCCUUGGAGCAAGCCUGAACUGCUGAGGAUAUUCAAGAGAUAAAGUGAAAUCCAGAAGCUGAAUAUAGGCACUUUUUAAGGGUCGGGACAUGUUAGGAACUAGCCUGCUGAAUCUGUGUUCGGAGUGGAGAAUUCACAUCCAUUUGCAGAAGACUGAAGCUAGUCUGUGAGAUAUCCUCUGCCCCUCCCAUUCCCCAGCACUUAAUACAGUAUUAAAGUCUGUUGCAGCAGUUUGAAGGACUCACACUUUCCUCUGUACAACGGUUUAUAUCUAAUACAGUAAUGUUUAUGCUCUUCCCUCGUGCUGGUGGUGAAUCUCCCUGUGUGACAAGCUCUUCAUUCAUUGGCAUGACCAUGGCAAGCCUGCUUUUAGCACUGUUUCCAAACUUAGCCAGUGCUUAGAACAGAUUGUUAGAGAACAGCAAGCUGGCACUGCUAACAAGGUGAGCUCAGGGGUUGUUCUGGGCUCUCAGCUGUCUGCCGGGUCUCUGUCACCUCAGAAAUAGCCUUCCCUGUUACAGAGAUCCCAAAAUGCUGCAGCCAACCUGCCUCACACUGGGCUGUAAGAGAGAGACAAGCAGGAGCUCAGACACUGGGUACCAAGUAGGAUCAUUUGCACUGAUUCUUCUGGCAUGAAGAGGGUUUACUCCACACAAAGACUUGUUGCAAUGUGUUUCAACAAGGGAAACACUUUUUCCUUGCUUGGCAGAAGUAUUUGUAGCCACACUGAAAGGCUAGUUUGUUACCAGGGAGCUUGUAAGAUGUUUGUCCACUUAAUCACAAAAAGCUGCAGAGACUGUAAGGAUGUUUCUGCAGGUGUCAGAGGGGCCAGCUGGAAGGGAAAAGCAACAAGAAUUCCUCCCCAUGCUGCUUCCAUCUGCCAAGUCAUGAGUGCCACCCUGCAAUGUCAUCACUGUGGGACAUGGGCACCACGGUGGUGUUUGAGAAUGUCCCGUGGGAACCCACAGUCAGCACCAGUUGGUACUGGUCAGCCUUUGGUUGGUAUCUGGCAGGACAGAGCCUGGCUGGCCAGAGCAAUGGCUGCAGAAGAAAGGUUGAGCCCGAAUGAGAGAGGAUGGUUUUAAAGGGAGGCAUCAACAGCUAAAAUUUCCUCCUCUUCCUCAGACAAGCUGAGGGAGUCCUCAGGUUCAGCUUCUCCGACCUCUACUAAGUGGGAUAGUCAAGCAGUUGUGGAUGUUGCUGUAGGAGCAAUGACAUCACUGACUGAAAGAAACAUUCCUCCUUCUUCCAAGGGGAGCAGUGGCUAAACUGAAGAUCUCUCCUUUCUCAAGCAGCUCUGGGAAAUUUCUCACAGUGAUGAGUUUCGUUCCAUUUGGUGGGUUGGUGAUGGAUUCUUUGUUGCCAUCAAUAAAGAAAUGUUCAAGGAUGAGGUGCUGGCGAGAAGAGGACUUGGCAGAGCCUUUGAAAUGGAGAGCAUGAGCAGUUUUCCUCAUCAUCUUGACCUGUAUGGGCUGUGCGAACUGCCAUGUCCAGGUUGUCUAACUCCAGGGAUGAAUUUCCAGCAGAAGUAGCUGCUUCAGCUCCUACAAAGCUUCUAUGAAUCUGUUACAGCCCCAGCUUUAAGAUGGAGCAUCCCCAGGUGCUGGAAAAGUAGAAGCCAAGAGUGGACCACAAAAGGAGGGCCCCAGCUGCAUCAUGUCUGGAUGAGGAGCUGGAGGAAAGCUGCCAAGAUCUUUGUCCUGCACAGGGAACUGCUGCUGGCGUGGAGAAGGAGGUGUUCACACCAGUUCCAGCA